rnacentral:rRNA from 1 species
GUAAGGAAUAUUGGACAAUGGACGCAAGUCUGAUCCAGCCAUGCCGCGUGAAGGAUUAAUGUCCUCUGGAUUGUAAACUUCUUUUAUAAGGGACGAAAAAAGGCUUUUCUAAGUCGUCUGACGGUACCUUAUGAAUAAGCACCGGCUAACUCCGUGCCAGCAGCCGCGGUAAUACGGAGGGUGCAAGCGUUAUCCGGAUUCACUGGGUUUAAAGGGUGCGUAGGCGGGCAGGUAAGUCAGUGGUGAAAUCCUAGAGCUUAACUCUAGAACUGCCAUUGAUACUGUCUGUCUUGAAUAUUGUGGAGGUAAGCGGAAUAUGUCAUGUAGCGGUGAAAUGCUUAGAUAUGACAUAGAACACCUAUUGCGAAGGCAGCUUACUACGCAUAUAUUGACGCUGAGGCACGAAAGCGUGGGGAUCAAACAGGAUUAGAAACCCCGGUAGUCC